GACGAACGCUGGCGGCGUGCUUAACACAUGCAAGUCGAACGGAAAGGCCCUGCUUUUGUGGGGUGCUCGAGUGGCGAACGGGUGAGUAACACGUGAGUAACCUGCCCUUGACUUUGGGAUAACUUCAGGAAACUGGGGCUAAUACCGGAUAGGAGCUCCUGCUGCAUGGUGGGGGUUGGAAAGUUUCGGCGGUUGGGGAUAGACUCGCGGCUUAUCAGCUUGUUGGUGGGGUAGUGGCUUACCAAGGCUUUGACGGGUAGGCGGCCUGAGAGGGUGACCGGCCACAUUGGGACUGAUAUACGGCCCAGACUCCUACGGGAGGCAGCAGUGGGGAAUAUUGCACAAUGGGGUGAAGCCUGAUGCAGCAACGCCGCGUGCGGGAUGACGGCCUUCGGGUUGUAAACCGCUUUCGCCUGUGACGAAGCGUGAGUGACGGUAAUGGGUAAAGAAGCACCGGCUAACUACGUG
rnacentral:rRNA from 1 species